CAGGUUGAAGCUCUAUUAGAGAGUAUCUCAUUUACACUGAGGUGGUAUACUGUGCGAUUCAGUUUAAUCUGA
rnacentral:tRNA from 1 species